AAACCUUCGACGUUGACUUACUUAUUAGCCCGCGCUCCCUACGAGGGGUUCGGAGUUAAGUUCGGAAACCCGACUAAAAUCUCCGAAUAGCAGCAGGCAUAGACCUAGUCCGGUCUUACUUGAAGGGCUAAGGCCCGACCUAGAGGCCUUGGGAUUUCCCUAAAGGCUAAACGUGAUGACUUCCACGAUUCUUAGAUUCGAGCUAUGGGACUUAGAGGAAUUUUCUAA
rnacentral:lncRNA from 1 species